AGCAGCCGCUUCCAAGGAGGCAGCCAGCGGGCACCGUGUCCUUCCCCACACUGGGAGGAGCCGUGGGCACCAGUCACGGACAGCGCGUGCGUGGAGGGCAAUGUUCCCAGAAGCGUGGGAGUGGGGCCAGCCGGGCAGCUGCCCUCCCAGCUUCUGGGCCACAGCCGUCUGGCCCCGGACGAAGAAGAGGCAUGCGGGGGGCAAGGUGCUGUGGGUUCUGGAGCGACCUUGUCACCCCAGGCACCAUCGCUGGCCUUCUCCAGGGGGUGCACUGUCCCCUGCACACAGGGUCCCACCAGCGCAGCUGCAUUCCUGACGUGGGUGAGCCCUGCUCCAGCCAGUCUCUGGUCUCCUGCCCUUGGGUCUGCUGUACCGCAGGACCCGUGUCCCUUCUAGAAGAGCCUGCCCUUCUGCGGUGUCCACUUGGCUUGUGGGAAGGGUAAGAGAGGCAGAGACGGUGCCAGACUGAUGCUAACCUGUUCCCCUGGUCCUGCCAGGAGACUCUUCGGGCACAAGGCCCCCAGGCUUCCUAUAAGGAGGGUCUCUGGGGGCCCCUCAGCCAGACAGCUCAGUGGGAGCCCUCUGCGACCCUCACUUAGCUUGCAGUCAGAACGUGGGGCCGGGGAAGGACCCUCCAGGGAAAGGAGGAGAGAUGCCCUGUGUACCCAGAUUCCCCCAAGAGAAAGAGCGUCUGACAAAGGCAUGGAACACAGACCAGGCCCCGGGAGGAAGCGCGGAGAUCUCAGGCAGGGAGAGGGCCCUUCAGGCUGAGAUUUCCUUCUGGAAUGCUAGGUUGCAUUUGUUCCGGAAUAGUAACAAGACAGUCCCCACUUUGGAAAGAAGCUGCCUUUGAUGUAUUGUCUGGUGGCAGACCACAGCUUCCCCUGGUCCACAAACAGGACGUGCGCCAUGAAACACCGUGCCCAGCUGAGCCCAAGGGAAGAAGGUCUGGCCGGUAGCGGAGCAAAAGUCCAGCCUGAAAGACACGCGUGUCCUCAUAAUGCCGGGACGUUUCUCUGAUGUAAGGUAGGGAGCUCCCCGUCACCAGAAGUGUUCAAGCAGUCUGUACAGCCGUGUGACGCCAGACUUGAAGCUUCUUGCCAGUCCUGCUAGACUGAAAGCAACUUGAAGAGACCUCAGACCACCCUCUGCCCCCCGGUGGUUUGAAAGCUCAGACUGUGACCCAACGUGGAUCAUUUCUGGCUUACCAAGGGAGCUCGGCCAUCAUACUUCAUGGGAGGGCGGGGAGGGGUGUCUGAAUCUUUUAUGGUUUUGUUCCCAACCUUGUGAGGUCGGGGCGGGGGGUGAACCCUUUAUUUCAGGAAGGUAGCAGGAGCUGAGAGGAGCGUGUGUUCAAAUUCACGUUCCCCUAUGUUUUUGGAGUCCCAGGGAAAGGCUCUGACUGGCCAGAGCCCUCUCCCCUGCACCUCGUUAUUGCCAGGCUCACCCAAGCUGCCGCAGUCUGUCAUUCAAGGAGCGCUUCAUCUCAAGACCUUGGCUUUGGAGGGGAAAAGGGGGGGGAUGCUUGCCCCUCCUUUGCAAUGUAUCUCUACGGUGUGUCAGUUGCCUAUAAAAUUCACACGUUACUUUUGAAAUUUAAAAACGGCUGUUUUAACAUUACUCAGUUGGACCGGGGUGAUCCCCAUCACAGCUCGGCCCCCUUUGGCAUAGAGCCGACUCAUCAGCCCGGCGAUGCCAUCUGAAGUCUGAAGCAAUGGCUACUUCCUCGGAUUGCCUGCAACCGAAUGACCUGGAAAGAAGGGAUGCACAGCUGGCGAACGGAGUGUUGUUUCUUUCAUGUGCGGCCUGACUUCCCCGGCCCCGGCGUUCCAGACCUACAGUCGUGUGGCCCGCUCUUGGCCGGCUUCCCUAAGUCCUAAACGUCCCGACCUUAUACCAACACCUUGUGUGGGGGCCUCUCUCUGGGAUGAAGGUCGUCGGGGAGGCAAGGCGAGUUUGUGAUAAUUACACUCUCGAAGGGGUGAAGCCUGUUGACGGUUGCCACGUGGAGACCUUGAACCUGUGUGGUCAAGUUGUUUCUCCCAAGUAAGUCCGUUAGCUGCCCCAGUCCUUCUUUCUGGGUAGGAACAAACACUGCAUGCCAGCCUCCGAAUUUGGAAUCGUUCUUCGGCUAUGUGUGUGUGUGUGUGUGUGUGCACGUGUGUGUGCCGGUGAGCUGGCACUUACAAGCCGUCUGUGACUCAGAGGCACCCGUGAUCCCUCCCUCUUCUGUCUUUCUGUUUGGACUCAGACCCCCUCUGCUCCACAGGCAUGUGUUUGCUGCGGCUCCAAAUCUCCACUUGUUCUCCCCCCUUCUGCGGCUGCUUCUCAGGGCACGGCCACCCCGGCCAGCAGCAACAGAGGAAACACAGAAAAACCUGGAAAAAUAUUUGUUUCACUAGCAGAAGUGAUCUGCGUGAGGCUCCGAGGGAUCCGGGUCCGUUUUUAACUGGCUGGCCGAGAGCCGGGCCGGAGGAGUUUUCCUGCAGGACUGUUUUUGGUUUUGAACUAAGUGGUGCUCAGCUCUGACCCGAUCGCUGGCCCAGCGGAGGCUGAUCCGUGGCCUGUCCAGACCCCGCUUUCCCUGGGUGGGCAGUGCCACGCAUGCUCGGUGGAGUCUCGGGCGAAGGGCCGGGUGGCCUGGGUCACGUCAGCUCGGGGGCGGAGCCACACGGACCAGGUGCUUCGUGGCGGCUCCUUCUAGGGCAAGUCCCACCGCUCUGUGGGCGUGGAGUGCCAGCCGGAGAGGAAAGUGGUUUCGGAAGAAAACCACCUCCAGGGCGGUGGGUGGGGGAGCGGAACCCCACAAAUUAUGGGGCCUGCGUCACUUAUAGCUCUGGACGUGGCAGAAGAGGAGCUGCAGGGGGGAGCCUCGGGGUCCUUAGGAAGAAAUUCAGCAACACAGCACAGAGCAGCGCAAGUGGCUGGGCUCCCUGAAUCAUCUCAGAUUCGGCU